rnacentral:rRNA from 1 species
GACGAACGCUGGCGGCGUGCUUAACACAUGCAAGUCGAACGGAGUGGCGAACGGGUGAGUAACACGUGGGUGAUCUGCCUUGCACUUCGGGAUAAGCUUGGGAAACUGGGUCUAAUACCGGAUAGUGCAAGAUGAGCUCGCGGCCUAUCAGCUUGGGGGUGGGGUAAUGGCCUACCAAGGCGUCGACGGGUAGCCGGCCUGAGAGGGGGUACGGCACAAGUGGGACGGCGAUACGGCCCAGACUCCUACGGGAGGCAGCAGGGGGGAAUAUUGCACAAUGGGCGGAAGCCUGAUGCAGCGACGCCGCGUGGGGGAGGAAGGCCUUCGGGUUGUAAACUCCUUUCGACAGGGACGCGGUACCUGGAUAAGAAGCACCGGCUAACUACGUGACAGCAGCCGCGGUAAUAC